ensembl:lncRNA
GUGAAUUCAACAGUACAGGACGCAACAAUUGAGCCAUGGCACGUGGAAGACGAAGGGUCCCAGUCCAAUGUGAAGACAUUGAUAAUAUUUCAGUUCAGUGUCAGGAUGACCAAUUCGGGCUGGAUGCGGAAGUGGUUUUUGAUGAAAAGUCCUUUCCCUUACGGAAGUGCACUCAAUAUGUGACUGGGUCAUAUCAUGGGGGCAGAGUUCCUGGGCAGAAUCAGGAAACAGUGUGGGAUUCAUCUGCUGUGAAUGGACAAAUCAGUGCUGCAGGCUUCUACAUAAAUGCAGGUGUUUUAGAUGCUGAGUCUGACAGCCUAACAUUCACAGAUGGGGAUGUUCCAGGAUUCACAGCACUCGAUAGCAUGAGAGGCAACGGCCAUGAGCUGAUGAACAGAGAUGAAUGUUAUGAAAAAGAAAAGCAUGUGAAUCCAAAGGGACAGAAGAAAAAAGCUGAGAGAGAGGAGAACACAGCUUCACCAUUAAAGAGGAAAAGAAUCCAGUCAACAUCUGAUUCUUGUGAAAUGUGACUUGAUUACAAAGAUAGCACUUAUUUUCUGUUGCUUUAGCAUACUGUAGUAGUUCUAAAAAGCUUAACAGAAAUCUUAAUCUAUAACUCUUAAUUUCUGUUCUGUCUAAAUAAAUAAUAUCUACAGAAGGAUAAUACA